GGGGGGGGGGACGAGAGGACCGGGAAGGACGCACUUCUGAUGUACCAGUUAUCGUGCGUACGGUAAACGUUGUGUGGCCAAGUGUGAAGAGGAUAACUGCUGAAAGCAUACAAGUAGUAAGCCCACCCCAAGAUG
rnacentral:ncRNA from 1 species